rnacentral:rRNA from 1 species
UGGGGAAUUUUGGACAAUGGGCGAAAGCCUGAUCCAGCAAUGCCGCGCGUGUGAAGAAGGCCUUCGGGUUGUAAAGCACUUUUGUCCGGAAAGAAAUCCUUGGCUCUAAUACAGUCGGGGGAUGACGGUACCGGAAGAAUAAGCACCGGCUAACUACGUGCCAGCAGCCGCGGUAAUACGUAGGGUGCAAGCGUUAAUCGGAAUUACUGGGCGUAAAGCGUGCGCAGGCGGUUUGCUAAGACCGAUGUGAAAUCCCCGGGCUCAACCUGGGAACUGCAUUGGUGACUGGCAGGCUAGAGUAUGGCAGAGGGGGGUAGAAUUCCACGUGUAGCAGUGAAAUGCGUAGAGAUGUGGAGGAAUACCGAUGGCGAAGGCAGCCCCCUGGGCCAAUACUGACGCUCAUGCACGAAAGCGUGGGGAGCAAACAGGAUUAGAUACCCUGGUAGUCCACGCCCUAAACGAUGUCAACUAGUUGUUGGGGAUUCAUUUCCUUAGUAACGUAGCUAACGCGUGAAGUUGACCGCCU